rnacentral:rRNA from 1 species
AGAGUUUGAUCCUGGCUCAGGAUGAACGCUGGCGGCGUGCUUAACACAUGCAAGUCGAACGAACCUUCGGGUUAGUGGCGGACGGGUGAGUAACGCGUGGGAAUCUGCCCUCAGGAGGGGGAUAACGGUUGGAAACGACCGCUAAUACCCCAUAUGCCGAGAGGUGAAAUGAAUUUCGCCUGAGGAUGAGCCCGCGUCUGAUUAGCUUGUUGGUGAGGUAAUGGCUCACCAAGGCAUCGAUCAGUAGCUGGUCUGAGAGGAUGAUCAGCCACACUGGGACUGAGACACGGCCCAGACUCCUACGGGAGGCAGCAGUGGGGAAUUUUCCGCAAUGGGCGAAAGCCUGACGGAGCAACGCCGCGUGAGGGACGAAGGCCUCUGGGCUGUAAACCUCUUUUCUCAAGGAAGAAGAUAUGACGGUACUUGAGGAAUAAGCCACGGCUAAUUCCGUGCCAGCAGCCGCGGUAAUACGGGAGUGGCAAGCGUUAUCCGGAAUUAUUGGGCGUAAAGCGUCCGCAGGCGGCCUUUCAAGUCUGCUGUUAAAGCGUGGAGCUUAACUCCAUCAUGGCAGUGGAAACUGAUCGGCUUGAGUAUGGUAGGGGCAGAGGGAAUUCCCGGUGUAGCGGUGAAAUGCGUAGAUAUCGGGAAGAACACCAGUGGCGAAGGCGCUCUGCUGGGCCAUUACUGACGCUCAUGGACGAAAGCCAGGGGAGCGAAAGGGAUUAGAUACCCCUGUAGUCCUGGCCGUAAACGAUGAACACUAGGUGUCGGGGGAAUCGACCCCUUCGGUGUCGUAGCUAACGCGUUAAGUGUUCCGCCUGGGGAGUACGCACGCAAGUGUGAAACUCAAAGGAAUUGACGGGGGCCCGCACAAGCGGUGGAGUAUGUGGUUUAAUUCGAUGCAACGCGAAGAACCUUACCAGGGCUUGACAUCCUGCGAACCUUUAAGAAAUUAGAGGGUGCCUUCGGGAACGCAGUGACAGGUGGUGCAUGGCUGUCGUCAGCUCGUGUCGUGAGAUGUUGGGUUAAGUCCCGCAACGAGCGCAACCCACGUUUUUAGUUGCCAGCAUUUAGUUGGGCACUCUAGAAAGACCGCCGGUGAUAAACCGGAGGAAGGUGUGGAUGACGUCAAGUCAUCAUGCCCCUUACGUCCUGGGCUACACACGUACUACAAUGCUACGGACAAAGGGCAGCAAACUCGCGAGAGCUAGCAAAUCCCAUAAACCGUGGCUCAGUUCAGAUCGUAGGCUGCAACUCGCCUACGUGAAGUAGGAAUCGCUAGUAAUCGCAGGUCAGCAUACUGCGGUGAAUACGUUCCCGGGCCUUGUACACACCGCCCGUCACACCAUGGAAGUUGGCCACGCCCGAAGUCGUUACUUUAACCCUUGUGGAGAAGGACGCCGAAGGUGGGGCUGAUGACUGGGGUGAAGUCGUAACAAGGUAGCCGUACCGGAAGGUGCGGCUG